rnacentral:rRNA from 1 species
AUAGCGUAUAUUAAAGUUGCUGCGGUUAAAAAGCUCGUAGUUGGAUCUGGGUAGUCGAUGGACGGUUCUUCGUAAGAAGAUACUGCCCGUUCGGCACCACAGCCCGGCCAUGUCUUGCAUGCUCUUCACUGAGUGUGCUUGGCGACCGGAACGUUUACUUUGAAAAAAUUAGAGUGCUCAAAGCAGGCGUUAAGCCUUGUAUAAUGGUGCAUGGGAUAAUGGAAUAAGAUUUUUGGCUUGUUCUGUUGGUCUUAGAGUCAGAAGUAAUGAUAAAUAGGAACAGACGGGGGCAUUCGUAUUGCGGCGUUAGAGGUGAAAUUAUUGGAUCGUCGCAAGACGCACUACUG